rnacentral:rRNA from 1 species
AACGCGAAGAACCUUACAUGGUCUANAUAUCCAGGUGAAGUUUUGAGAGAUGGAGUUAUCCUNCCUUUCGGGANCCCGGUGUAAACAGNUGGUUGCAUNGGUUNUUCGUCCAGCUUGUUUUUUUAAAAUGUUNGGUUUAAUUCCCCCAAGGGGGCCAACCUUUUUCCUUUUUGCCAACAGGUUCNGCUGGGGACUCAAAGGAGACUGCCGGUGUUAAAUUGGAGGAAGGUGGGGAUGACGUCAAAUCAUCAUGCCCCUUAUGUNCCUGGGGCUUAAACACAUUGCUACCAUUGGCGCAUACGAAGAGAUAGGAUCCUCUGGAGNGCAACCGAUCCUCAUAAACUGGUUUCUAUUCGGAUUUGUAUUUUCNAACUUGAACCCCCAUAAAGNUGGGGUUCCUUAUUAUUCGUGGAUCCACGGAGGGGAAUCGCUGAAUACGUUUCC